rnacentral:rRNA from 1 species
CCUACGGGAGGCAGCAGUGAGGAAUAUUGGACAAUGGCCGUAAGGCUGAACCAGCCACGUCGCGUGGAGGAAGAAGGGUCUAUGGUUUGUAAACUUCUUUUAUAGGGGAAUAAAGGUAUCCACGUUUGGUUAUUUGCAUCUACCCUCUAAGUAAGCAUCGGCUCACUCCUUGCCAGCAGCCGCGGUAAAACGGGGGAUGCGAGCGUUAUCCGGAUUUAUUGGGUUUAAAGGGUGCGUAGGUUGUUUUGUAAGUCAGCGGUGAAAGUGUGUGGCUCAACCAUAAAAUUGCCGUUGAAACUGGAAGACUUGAGUGUGUUUGAGGUAGGCGGAAUGCGUGGUGUAGCGGUGAAAUGCAUAGAUAUCACGAAGAACUCCGAUUGCGAAGGCAGCUUACUAAGCCAUAACUGACACUGAAGCACGAAAGCGUGGGGAUCAAACAGGAUUAGAUACCCGUGUAGUC